UUGCCAGACUCCUACGGGAGGCAGCAGUGGGGAAUAUUGCGCAAUGGGGGAAACCCUGACGCAGCAACGCCGCGUGAGUGAAGAAGGCCUUCGGGUUGUAAAGCUCUUUAAUCAGGGACGAAGAAUGACGGUACCUGAGGAAUAAGCUCCGGCUAACUACGUGCCAGCAGCCGCGGUAAUACGUAGGGAGCAAGCGUUAUCCGGAUUUACUGGGUGUAAAGGGCGUGUAGGCGGGCCUGCAAGUCAGAAGUGAAAUCUGGGGGCUUAACCCCCAAACUGCUUUUGAAACUGUGGGUCUUGAGUGAUGGAGAGGCAGGCGGAAUUCCCAGUGUAGCGGUGAAAUGCGUAGAUAUUGGGAGGAACACCAGUGGCGAAGGCGGCCUGCUGGACAUUAACUGACGCUGAGGCGCGAAAGCGUGGGGAGCAAACAGGAUUAGAUACCCCAGUAGU
rnacentral:rRNA from 1 species